CCUAUAUAGGGAAUGUGAAGGUACGUCACGCAGUGUUGCAUUAUGGGACGUGGGCGCCAUGUUUAGAGGCACGAUCUCUGUUUACGUUUUCGCCAACCAUUGCUAUGACAUUUAAUUGUGGGUGUGUUUGGCUAAAACGAGGUAAAAUUGAAGAACGGAAGAAAUGGAGAAUUUGAAAGAAAAAGAGAAGGGACCCUAUCGGGAGAAACUAAAUGCCACUGCCAAAAAAAAAAACGUUAUUUAGACAAACUGUCCAAGUCCAAGUUAGCAGCCCAAGACUGGAUUACGGAUCCAGACGCACUAACCGUUACCUCCGCUCACAUAUAUGGACAUCGUCAAUUACCUCGUUUUAGGAUUGAGUGCGUACACUUUGCAGGAGUUUAAGAGCUAUAAAUCCCUUCAAGCCCAUGAACAGUUUUGCAGCGGCUGGGUACAAGACCUCCUCAUUCACAGGCCGCCUAACUGCAAGAGCACAGUCGUACUGGCAAAGGUGAUGCAUUCCCAGCACCUUAGUGAAGUUCCUCUGAAGGCUUGGGUUUCCUCAGCCCACUGUACAUGUAUGCCUUGAGUCGCAGAGACAUGCUCCCAUGUUGACGAAUGUCAGUACCAAAACAGUUACCUGGAACCACUGACUUCCAUAGAUUUUUUUUUCCUGCUAUGGAAGUCAGUGGUUCCAGGUAACUGUUUGGUUACUGACAUUCUUCAAAAUAUCUUCCUUUGCGUUCAGCAGAAGAAAGAAAUUCAUACAGGUUUGAAACAACUUGAGGGUGAAUAAAUGAUGACAGAAUUUUCAUUUUAAAGUGAACUAUCCCUUUAAAGGGUCUCUGUGGAUACAAUCAGUACAGAAACAGAUACGUCACUUAAUAUAUUUAUUAAGCAGUUAUAUAAAACCUUGAGUCAGAAACAUUUUAAAAAGGCAUGUAAAAAUAUGUACAGAAUAUCAAAGCAAAUUGUUCAUUGAAAAAAUAAAUAAUUUUUGAUUCAUGCAA